rnacentral:lncRNA from 1 species
UUGUGAUGAUUUCCCAGGUCUUUCUGGCCACAGUGCUAAAAGUAGGCAUUGUCAAAAGUCUGACUUUUAAUAACAUAUCCACAUGGUACCUCCAGGCCUGAGCUGAGUCUCCCGUUUAACAACUGUGCCAUCCAAGUUAGCAAAAAUCAGCCAUCUCUCUCCACAGAGUUUGCUGGCAUUGGACUCUCUGCUUGGUCACAAGGAGCUGCCUUCCAGCGAACAUUUAACCUGAGUUUUUUAAAUCUCCUCCACUUCACACUAGAGCAUGCUCAUGGUCAAAGCUUUUGGCUAUACUUUCUGCCAGAAGAGAUGGAGACGGAUGUUUUCCCUUCCAGCUGGAUGUGCCACUGCCCUGUAGUUGGGAUCAGACAGGAUGAGCACAGGCUUGUGAGAAGGGAAACAGGAGAGCAGACAGAAGAAAUAUGACAGCCCAACACAGAGGACUUCAGUAAUGUCUUCGGAGCUAAACGUGCUAAUGUGGACCUGCAUCUCAAAAAGAACAGGUUAUGGCUAGGGGACCAUCACUCACAGAAAGCCGGGGUACCAAGAUUUUAUGGUCACCCAUGUGAUCCUUUAAAAGACUGAACUUAACCCUUAAAACACUUAGCUCAAAUAAAAAUAAUUUAGGAUGUUACA